rnacentral:rRNA from 1 species
GACGAACGCUGGCGGCGUGCUUAACACAUGCAAGUCGUACGGUAAGGCCCUUUCGGGGGUACACGAGUGGCGCACGGGUGAGUAACACGUGAGUAACCUGCCCACAACUUUGGGAUAACGCUAGGAAACUGGUGCUAAUACUGGAUAUGUGCUCCUGCUGCAUGGUGGGGGUUGGAAAGCUCCGGCGGUUGUGGAUGGACUCGCGGCCUAUCAGCUUGUUGGCGGGGUAGUGGCCUACCAAGGCGGCGACGGGUAGCCGGCCUGAGAGGGUGACCGGCCACAUUGGGACUGAGAUACGGCCCAGACUCCUACGGGAGGCAGCAGUGGGGAAUAUUGCACAAUGGGCGCAAGCCUGAUGCAGCAACGCCGCGUGCGGGAUGACGGCCUUCGGGUUGUAAACCGCUUUCAGCAGGGACGAAGCUUUUUGUGACGGUACCUGCAGAAGAAGCACCGGCUAACUACGUG